rnacentral:rRNA from 1 species
UACAGAGGUCUCAAGCGUUGUUCGGAUUCAUUGGGCGUAAAGGGUGCGUAGGUGGUUGUUUAAGUCUGUUGUGAAAGCCCCGGGCUCAACCUGGGAAUGGCAAUGGAUACUGGACAGCUAGAGUGCGGUAGAGGGUAGUGGAAUUCCCGGUGUAGCAGUGAAAUGCGUAGAGAUCGGGAGGAACACCAGUGGCGAAGGCGGCUACCUGGACCAGCACUGACACUGAAGCACGAAAGCGUGGGGAGCAAACAGG